AGUGAACGCUGGCGGUAGGCCUAACACAUGCAAGUCGAACGGCAGCACAGUAAGAGCUUGCUCUUACGGGUGGCGAGUGGCGGACGGGUGAGGAAUACAUCGGAAUCUACUUUUUCGGGGGGGAUAACGUAGGGAGACUUACGCUAAUACCGCAUACGACCUACGGGGGAAAGCAGGGGAUCUUCGGAGCUUGCGCGAAUGAAUGAGCCGAUGUCGGAUUAGCUAGUUGGCGGGGUAAAGGCCCACUAAGGCGACGAUCCGUAGCUGGUCUGAGAGGAUGAUCAGCCACACUGGAACUGAGACACGGUCCUGACUCCUACGGGAGGCCGCAGUGGCGAAUAUUGGACAAUGGGCGCAAGCCUGGUCCAGCCAUACCGCGUCGGUGAAGAAGGCCUUCCGGUUGUAAAGCCCUUUUGUUGGGAAAGAAACGCAGCAGGUUAAUACCCCGCUGUUCUGACGGUACCCAAAGAAUAAGCACCGGCUAACUUCGUG
rnacentral:rRNA from 1 species